rnacentral:rRNA from 1 species
GAUGAACGCUGGCGGCGUGCCUAACACAUGCAAGUCGAGCGAUCUUCUUCGGAAGAGAGCGGCGGACGGGUGAGUAACGCGUGGGUAACCUGCCCUGUACACACGGAUAACAUACCGAAAGGUAUGCUAAUACGGGAUAACAUAAGAGAGUCGCAUGGCUAUCUUAUCAAAGCUUUUGCGGUACAGGAUGGACCCGCGUCUGAUUAGCUAGUUGGUAAGGUAACGGCUUACCAAGGCGACGAUUAGUAGCCGACCUGAGAGGGUGAUCGGCCACAUUGGAACUGAGACACGGUCCAAACUCCUACGGGAGGCAGCAGUGGGGAAUAUUGCACAAUGGGCGAAAGCCUGAUGCAGCAACGCCGCGUGAGCGAUGAAGGCCUUCGGGUCGUAAAGCUCUGUCCUCAAGGAAGAUAAUGACGGUACUUGAGGAGGAAGCCCCGGCUAACUACGUGCCAGCAGCCGCGGUAAUACGUAGGGGGCUAGCGUUAUCCGGAAUUACUGGGCGUAAAGGGUGCGUAGGCGGUCUUUCAAGUCAGAAGUGAAAGGCUACGGCUCAACCGUAGUAAGCUUUUGAAACUGUAAGACUUGAGUGCAGGAGAGGAGAGUGGAAUUCCUAGUGUAGCGGUGAAAUGCGUAGAUAUUAGGAGGAACACCAGUUGCGAAGGCGGCUCUCUGGACUG